rnacentral:rRNA from 1 species
GACGAACGCUGGCGGCGUGCUUAACACAUGCAAGUCGAACGGAAAGGCCCCUUUGGGGGUACUCGAGUGGCGAACGGGUGAGUAACACGUGAGUAACCUGCCCUUGACUUCGGGAUAACUUCAGGAAACUGGGGCUAAUACCGGAUAGGAAUCCUUGCUGCAUGGUGGGGGUUGGAAAGCUUCGGCGGUUUUGGAUGGACUCGCGGCUUAUCAGCUUGUUGGUGGGGUAGUGGCUUACCAAGGCUUUGACGGGUAGCCGGCCUGAGAGGGCGACCGGCCACAUUGGGACUGAGAUACGGCCCAGACUCCUACGGGAGGAAGCAGUGGGGAAUAUUGAACAAGGGGCGGAAGCCUGAUGCAGCAACGCCGCGUGCGGGAUGACGGCCUUCGGGUUGUAAACCGCUUUCAGCAGGGGCGAAGCUUGUGGUGACGGUACCUGCAGAAGAAGCACCGGCUAACUACGUG